rnacentral:lncRNA from 1 species
AAAUGUGGGAAGGUUUGGAACUUCCUGGAGACUUGUUGAAUGACUUUUCCCAAAAUGCUGGUAGCAAUAUGGACAACAAAGUCCAAGAUGAGGUAGUCUCAGAUGGAAAUGAAGAACUUGUUGGGAACUGGAGCAAAGGUGACUCUUGUUAUGUUUUAGCAAAGAGACUGGAGGCAUUUUGCCCCUGCCCUAGAGAUCUGUGGAACUUUGAAAUUGAGAGAUAUAAUUUAGGGUAUCUGGCAGAAGAAAUUUCUAAGCAGCAAAGCAUUCAAGAUGUGACAUGGGUGCUGUUAUAGGCAUUCAGUUUUACAAGGGAAGCAGAGCAUAAAAGUUCAGAAAAUGUGCGGCCUGGCAAUGUAAUAGAAAACAAAAUCUCACUUUCUAAGGAUAAAUUCAAGCUGGCUGCAGAAAUUUACAUAAGUAACUAGGAAAUGAAUAUUAAUCCCAAAGAGAAAGGGGAAAUUGUCUCCAGGGCAUGUCAGAGGCCUUCACAGCAGCCCCUCCCAUCGUAGGCCUGGAGGCCUAGGAAGAAAAAGUGGUUUCAUGGGCCAGGCUUAGGGUCCUUUGCUGUAUGUAGCCUAGGGACUUGGUACCCUGCAACCCAGUGGUUCCAGCUGUGACCGAAAGGGGCCAAUGUAGAGCUCAGGCCAUGGCUUCACGGGGUGCAAGCCUUAAGCCUUAGCAGUUUCCACAUGAUAUUGAGCCUGGGAGUGCACAGAAGUCAAGAAUUGAGGUUUGAGAACCUCUGCCUAGAUUGCAGUGGAUGUAUGGAAAUACCUGGAUGUCCAGGCAGAUGUUUGCUGCAGAGAUGGGGCCCUCAUGGAGAACCUCUGCUAGGGCAGUGCAGAAGGGAAAUGUGGGGUUGGAGCCCCCACAUAGAGUCCCUACUGGGGCACCACCUAGUGGAGCUGUGAGAAGAGUGUCACCAACCUCCAGACCCUAGAAUGGUAGAUCCACUGACAACCUGCACCAUGUGCCUAAAAAAGCUGCAGACUCUCAAUGCCAGCCUGGUAAAGCAGAAAGCAGCCAGGAGGGAGGCUGUACUCUGCAAUGCAACAGCGGCAGGGCUGCCCAAGACCAUGAGAACCCACCUCUUGCAUCAGCAUGACCUGGAUGUGAGACAUGGAGUCAAAGGAGAUCAUUUUGGAGCUUUAAGAUUUAACUGCCCUGCUGGAUUGCAGAUUUGCAUGGGGCCUGUAGCCCCUUUCAUUUUGGCCAGUUUCUUCCAUUGGAAAUGCUGUGUUUACCCAAUGCCUGUAUCCCCAUUGGAUUUAGGAAAUAACUAACUUGCUUUUGAUUUUACAUGCUCAUAGGCAGAAGGGAGUUGCCUUGUCUUGGAAGAUACUUUGGACUGAGAACUUUUGAGUUAAUGCUGAAAUGAGUUAAGACUUCAGGGAAUGUUAAAAAGACAUGAAUGGUUUUGAAAUGUGGGGACAUGAGAUAUGGGAGGGGCUUGAGUGGAAUGAUAUGGUUUGGCUUGUCCCCACUCAAAUCUCAUCUUAAAUUUCCUUGUGUUGUAGGACAGACCCAGUGGGAGGUAAUUGAAUCAUGGGGCAGGUCUUUCAAGUGCUGUUUUCAUGAUAGUGAGUAAGUCUCACAAGAUCUGAUAGUUUUAAAAAUGGGAAUUUCCCUGAACAAGCUCUCUCUCUUCUCUUUUCUGCUGCCAUGUGAGAUGUGCCUUUCACUUUCCACCAUGAUUUUGAUGUCUCCCCAGCCACAUGGAACUUCACUACUAUGGCAAGAUCAAGACUGGAUCUAGGAGAUCUCGGUUCAAUAUGGAGAUUAUCCAGAGAUUCUACUGUUGGAGCCAGAUGCUAUAACUGAAGAGGGUUAAAACUGUCUCCUUUUGGGACACCGAAACAUAGAAGCCUGCCCGGGAAGAGCAGGGUAGAACUUAUAUUCUCUUUGUUCAGCUUCCCAGAGGAAUAAGAAGGCCAGAGUGAAGCCAGGAUAGGAAGAAACAUGAAGCGAUGAAACAUACUGAACAAUUCCAUGUUUAUGGAAAAAAAUUCUGGUAAUGAACUUACUUCACACCAAAGAGACAAGGAGUAGCAUCAUUACCUCAAGCAAUAUUGCCAGAGAAAAUCUUGACACAGAGAAGACAAGCUCAGUGCUUAAUGUGAAAAUUUAUCUGCACAUACAGAACCAGUCCAUAAUACAGAAUUUCCAGUGUCACGUAAAUAGAUACAAGGAUCAUGAACUUUCUUGUAUUGCUUCUGAUUUUAAAAAUAAUGUUUCCAGAAAUCCAGCAGAGAAUGUUUUAUCCAGUGUUUCAUAUCAUUGGCACAACGAACAUCAGUAAAGAUGGAAAUUGGUUUACUAUGAAUUGUAAAGAAAUACUUUUAUAUACUGAAACUCGUAUUUAUAUUUAGCUUUGUGAUACCAGAUGGAAGUCUUGCUCAAUGACAUAUAUUUAAAACAAAUGAAAUAAGUUAUAUUACAUUGACCAUAUGAAAUUUAUUAUUGUUAUAACUUAAAUGUGGUUAACAUCAGCAAUUCUAUGUGGCUAAACCUAGUAUAUCAGUUAGGAACUUUUUUAAACCUGAAAAUAGAAGAAUAACUGGACAAUAGUAACAUAAAACAAAUAUAAGCAAAUUUUUUUCUUACAUAACAAGAAGUCUGGAAGUGGUUGCAGAUGUUGGUUUUAGCAGAACAAUGUUUGCAGAGAUACAAGUUCCUUCUAUUCCUUUUACUCACUGUCUUAUGUAUUUCAUUUGUAUGCUUGUUCACCUCACAUUCACCAAAUUGCUGUUAUGACUGUAGACAACAUAUUUGUAUAAUGGGAGAAGAUAGGGUCAGAAGAAGACCAUGGUACCAGCUCUGUCUAUUCCUUUCUACCAGGAAAGAAAAUAUCUUUUUCUCAAAAUUCCCAGUAUACCACUGUUGACAACUCAUUGAAUAAAACAGUGUUGUGGUCACAUUUGUCUGCAAAGAAAGCAGGUAUAAUAAGUAUUUAGCUGGGCACAUUGUAGUCCUGAGCUUUAGUAAUUCUCUUGGUAAAGUAUAUAAAAGAGAAAUAGGGAUUGGGACUGUAAUUCACAGGGUCUUCCACAGGGUAUUUUCUUACUAAAUUCAGUACUAUGUAAAGCCAGAACAACUUCAGAAUCUCUACAUUACAAGAAGUAUUAAAAAGGACUUUAAACAUCAUAAGCAUGAUCUUUGGUCUUAAUAAGCAUAUUAAUAAAAUAAGUAUAAGCAUAAGUUUAAAUAUUAAUAAGCAUAGGCUUUAUUAUCUUAAACAUUGUGUAUGACAGAAGAGAAGUUUAUGCAAUUGUUUCCAGAGUUGGUACACUUAAUGGUACCAACUUUUUUUUCCUUAUUGAAACUCUGUUAUGACUACUUUAAAGACAAUCCUGCAUAGCGGGCAUCUAGAAUCCGCUAAUAGCUGGGUGACCACUGUAGUUCAUACCUGACCAAACAUCCCUGAAGAAAUUAUGGAGCUGACUCGCCAAAAGUCAAUUUGCAUUAGGAACUUUGAAGCCUCCGGAGAAAUGCAUACUAUCCUCAGGGUAGAAAUAUUCAGAUAUGAGAAGCUUGGCCUUAAAACAAAGCCUUUGUAUUGGGAUGGAGUGGUGAAUCAGAUUCUAGCACUGUUCUGAAACAUGGAUUUGUUCCUCCAUCCAACGUGACUCCUUUCCACAAUUAGAGUCAUUCAUGUCGGAUCUUGGGGUAGAGAGGGCAGGGCAUGAUUUAUACAUGAGAAAUGAUUUGUAAACAGUUUGCAGUCAUACUCACUAAAUUCAGUUAUUGGAACCCAAGUAGCUUCGUUAGUAGAAUGUAGCAUAAAAAUGAGGGACAAACAUUCUUCUCCACUCAGCAGCACAGUAUUUAUGAAGAAACAUAUUGCUUCUAAUGUAGCAGGCAGUGGCAGUGCCUGGUGUACAUAUAGAUCCACAAGGUAAGCUGCUGUUCCUGGCGUGAGUAGAUACGCAUCAGUCUAGGCAAGAAUGCCAAGUGUAAGAGGAAGGCUCAGAAACCACAGCUGUACCCAACACAAGUGACACUGGUCAAAAGCAGAGCCCAGCAUGAGAAACUGUGAGAAUCAGCAGAGAUGGGACUUCUAAGUGGUCAUGGUGCCCUCCAGGAGAUUGAGCUACAGUUAAAAAGUAAGAAGUAGAGAAUGCAGUGUGAUAGCUGAUUAGUAAACUUAUCAUAUUUGUUUGUGUGUGGGUAGUAUGCUCUCGAGAAAUUCUUAUGAGCACUUUUUCAGUAGUUAUGACUUAUCUUUAGCACCUGUGGGCAAGAGUCAUUGGAAUAUACAUUACAUCUACAAAUGAAUAUUUAUCUCUGAGAUGAGCUGUUCGCAGUUUAAUAAAAGUAGGACAGAAUAACAGCAAAUAUUUGGCUUUGCGUAUAUGUCUGUGGAUCUAUUGCAAGGUCUUAAACAUUUCCCAUUCUUGGUCCUGGAGCCCUUUUUGCUCUCAGAUGGAUUCUCAAACAAGAAAUGAAAAAGCAUCAUCUCCAUGAGAUCAAAGUGUUCCAAUUAUAUCCUGAGGAGGCUGUUGUUUGAUCUAUUUUUCAACUGUAAGAUGGUCCUUAAUAACAUCAAUAAUAUGUAUUAAUUGGUGGUUCAAUGUUUUUCUCGCAAGAAACCAAGUGAAUAUUAAAAAUAUUCCUAAUUGACAAGGAAGUACAGGAGCUGACUUGCUAGGAUCACAGAACCAACAACAAGAGUGCGUCUGCAUGUCAAGACUCUGACCUACUGUGUGGGACUCUUUUCAUUACUCCAUCCUCAUCCUCCACCAGCCAUAGCCACCGAAGAACACUCACUUAUUUAAGCAAACUCUGUUUUUAGAAUUGAAGAUGAUAAUUAUUUAUUGCUUUUUUCAGAGUUUUUAUUUUUUAACAUUUAUUACAACAAAUUAGAAUAUAAGAUGAUGUGUCACGCCACCUUCCCCCAGAACUGAUUCUGCUUAUUUGACGGUUUGGAUAGAGGGCGGCUUUCCCUAUUGCAUGCUUUCUCAUACUGCAUCUUUAGACAAAGGUGACCAUCCCAUAGAGAUAGCGAUGCAGAUCUU